rnacentral:rRNA from 1 species
GACGAACGCUGGCGGCGUGCUUAACACAUGCAAGUCGAACGGAAAGGCCCUGCUUUUGUGGGGUGCUCGAGUGGCGAACGGGUGAGUAACACGUGAGUAACCUGCCCUUGACUUUGGGAUAACUUCAGGAAACUGGGGCUAAUACCGGAUAGGAGCUCCUGCUGCAUGGUGGGGGUUGGAAAGUUUCGGCGGUUGGGGAUGGACUCGCGGCUUAUCAGCUUGUUGGUGGGGUAGUGGCUUACCAAGGUUUUGACGGGUAGCCGGCCCGAGAGGGUUACCGGCCACAUUGGGACUGAGAUACGGCCCAGACUCCUACGGGAGGCAGCAGUGGGGAAUAUUGCACAAUGGGCGGAAGCCUGAUGCAGAAACGCCGCGUGCGGGAUGACGGCCUUCGGGUUGUAAACCGCUUUCGCAUGUGACGAAGCGUGAGUGACGGUAAUGGGUAAAGAAGCACCGGCUAACUACGUG